UACAUGGGGUGCAAACGUUGCUCGGAAUUAUUGGGCGUAAAGCGCGCGUAGGUGGUCGUUUAAGUCGGAUGUGAAAGCCCUCGGCUCAACUGAGGAAGUGCAUCCGAAACUGAGCGGCUAGAGUACGGCAGAGGGUCGCGGAAUUCCCGGUGUAGAGGUGAAAUUCGUAGAUAUCGGGAGGAACACCGGUGGCGAAGGCGGCGACCUGGGCCGAUACUGACACUGAGGUGCGAAAGCGUGGGGAGCAAACAGG
rnacentral:rRNA from 1 species